UACGUAGGGUGCGAGCGUUGUCCGGAAUUAUUGGGCGUAAAGAGCUCGUAGGCGGCCUGUCGCGUCGGAUGUGAAAGCCCGGGGCUUAACCCCGGGUCUGCAUUCGAUACGGGCAGGCUAGAGUUCGGUAGGGGAGAGUCGGAAUUCCUGGUGUAGCGGUGAAAUGCGCAGAUAUCAGGAGGAACACCGAUGGCGAAGGCAGGUCUCUGGCCACUACUGACGCUGAGAAGCGAAAGCAUGGGGAGCGAACAGGA
rnacentral:rRNA from 1 species